AUUGAACGCUGGCGGCAGGCUUAACACAUGCAAGUCGAGCGAGCGGCGGACGGGUGAGUAAUGUCUGGGAAACUGCCUGAUGGAGGGGGAUAACUACUGGAAACGGUAGCUAAUACCGCAUACCAUCAGAUGUGCCCAGAUGGGAUUAGCUAGUAGGUGGGGUAAUGGCUCACCUAGGCGACGAUCCCUAGCGGGUCUGAGAGGAUGACCGGCAACCCGGGAAUUGAGACACGGUCCAGACUCCUACGGGAGGCAGCAGUGGGGAAUAUUGGACAAUGGGCGCAAGCCUGAUGCAGCCAGGCCGCGUGGUGGAAGAAGGUCUUCGGGUUGUAAAGCACGUUCAGCGAGGAGGCGUUACUCGCAGAAGAAGCACCGGCUAACUCCGUGCCAGCAGCCGCGGUAAUUC
rnacentral:rRNA from 1 species